AUUGAACGCUGGCGGCAGGCCUAACACAUGCAAGUCGAACGGUAACAGGAAGAAGCUUGCUUCUUUGCUGACGAGUGGCGGACGGGUGAGUAAUGUCUGGGAAACUGCCUGAUGGAGGGGGAUAACUACUGGAAACGGUAGCUAAUACCGCAUAACGUCGCAAGACCAAAGAGGGGGACCUUCGGGCCUCUUGCCUUCGGAUGUGCCCAGAUGGGAUUAGCUAGUAGGUGGGGUAACGGCUCACCUAGGCGACGAUCCCUAGCUGGUCUGAGAGGAUGACCAGCCACACUGGAACUGAGACACGGUCCAGACUCCUACGGGAGGCAGCAGUGGGGAAUAUUGCACAAAGGGCGCAAGCCUGAUGCAGCCAUGCCGCGUGUAUGAAGAAGGCCUUCGGGUUGUAAAGUACUUUCAGCGGGGAGGAAGGGAGUAAAGUUAAUACCUUUACUCAUUGACGUUACCCGCAGAAGAAGCACCGGCUAACUCCGUG
rnacentral:rRNA from 1 species